rnacentral:rRNA from 1 species
CAGCAGCCGCGGUAACACGGAGGGGGCUAGCGUUGUUCGGAAUUACUGGGCGUAAAGCGCACGUAGGCGGCUUUGUAAGUUAGAGGUGAAAGCCCGGGGCUCAACCCCGGAAUAGCCUUUAAGACUGCAUCGCUUGAACGUCGGAGAGGUGAGUGGAAUUCCGAGUGUAGAGGUGAAAUUCGUAGAUAUUCGGAAGAACACCAGUGGCGAAGGCGGCUCACUGGACGACUGUUGACGCUGAGGUGCGAAAGCGUGGGGAGCAAACAGGAUUAGAUACCCCAGUAGUCCCUGUCUCUUAUAA